UGGGGAAUAUUGCACAAUGGGCGCAAGCCUGAUGCAGCCAUGCCGCGUGUAUGAAGAAGGCCUUCGGGUUGUAAAGUACUUUCAGCGGGGAGGAGGGCGAUAAGGUUAAUAACCUUGUCGAUUGACGUUACCCGCAGAAGAAGCACCGGCUAACUCCGUGCCAGCAGCCGCGGUAAUACGGAGGGUGCAAGCGUUAAUCGGAAUUACUGGGCGUAAAGCGCACGCAGGCGGUCUGUCAAGUCGGAUGUGAAAUCCCCGGGCUCAACCUGGGAACUGCAUUCGAAACUGGCAGGCUAGAGUCUUGUAGAGGGGGGUAGAAUUCCAGGUGUAGCGGUGAAAUGCGUAGAGAUCUGGAGGAAUACCGGUGGCGAAGGCGGCCCCCUGGACAAAGACUGACGCUCAGGUGCGAAAGCGUGGGGAGCAAACA
rnacentral:rRNA from 1 species